UACGUAGGUGGCGAGCGUUAUCCGGAAUGAUUGGGCGUAAAGGGUGCGUAGGCGGCCUGCUAAGUCUGGAGUGAAAGGUACCGGCUCAACCGGUACAGGCUCUGGAAACUGGCGGGCUAGAGAGCAGGAGAGGGCGGUGGAACUCCAUGUGUAGCGGUAAGAUGCGUAGAUAUAUGGGAGAACACCAGUGGCGAAGGCGGCCGCCUGGCCUGUUGACUGACGCUGAGGCACGAAAGCGUGGGGAGCAAAUAGG
rnacentral:rRNA from 1 species